rnacentral:rRNA from 1 species
GACAUGACUCUCGGCAAUGGAUAUCUUGGCUCUUGCAUCGAUGAAGAGCGCAGCGAAAUGCGAUACGUGGUGCGAAUUGCAGAAUCCCGCGAACCAUCGAGUCUUUGAACGCAAGUUGCGCCUGAGGCCAAACAGCUAAGGGCACGUCUACCUGGGUGUUAAGC